rnacentral:rRNA from 1 species
UACGUAGGGGGCAAGCGUUGUCCGGAAUCAUUGGGCGUAAAGCGCGUGUAGGCGGCCCGGUAAGUCCGCUGUGAAAGUCGGGGGCUCAACCCUCGAAUGCCGGUGGAUACUGUCGGGCUAGAGUGCGGAAGAGGCGAGUGGAAUUCCUGGUGUAGCGGUGAAAUGCGCAGAUAUCGGAAGGAACACCAGUGGCGAAAGCGGCUUCCUGGUCCAGCACCGACGUUCAGGCACGAAAGCGUGGGGAGCAAACAGG